AUGAACGCUGGCGGCGUGCCUCAUACAUGCAAGUCGAGCGAACAGACGAGGAGCUUGCUCCUCUGACGUUAGCGGCGGACGGGUGAGUAACACGUGGAUAACCUACCUAUAAGCCUGGGAUAACUUCGGGAAACCGGAGCUAAUACCGGAUAAUAUAUUGAACCGCAUGGUUCAAUAGUGAAAGACGGUUUUGCUGUCACUUAUAGAUGGAUCCGCGCCGCAUUAGCUAGUUGGUAAGGUAACGGCUUACCAAGGCAACGAUGCGUAGCCGACCUGAGAGGGUGAUCGGCCACACUGGAACUGAGACACGGUCCAGACUCCUACGGGAGGCAGCAGUAGGGAAUCUUCCGCAAUGGGCGAAAGCUUGACGGAGCAACGCCGCGUGAGUGAUGAAGGUCUUCGGAUCGUAAAACUCUGUUAUUAGGGAAGAACAAAUGUGUAAGUAACUAUGCACGUCUUGACGGUACCUAAUCAGAAAGCCACGGCUAACUACGUG
rnacentral:rRNA from 1 species